CCUACGGGCGGCAGCAGUGAGGAAUAUUGGUCAAUGGACGAGAGUCUGAACCAGCCAAGUAGCGUGAAGGAUGACUGCCCUAUGGGUUGUAAACUUCUUUUAUAUGGGAAUAAAAUGUUCCACGUGUGGGAUUUUGUAUGUACCAUAUGAAUAAGGAUCGGCUAACUCCGUGCCAGCAGCCGCGGUAAUACGGAGGAUCCGAGCGUUAUCCGGAUUUAUUGGGUUUAAAGGGAGCGUAGGUGGAUUGUUAAGUCAGUUGUGAAAUUUUGCGGCUCAACCGUAAAAUUGCAGUUGAAACUGGCAGUCUUGAGUACAGUAGAGGUGGGCGGAAGUCGUGGUGUAGCGGUGAAAUGCUGAGAUAUCACGAAGGACUCCGAUUGCGAAGGCAGCUCACUGGACUGCAACUGACACUGAGGCUCGAAAGUGUGGGUAUCAAACAGGAUUAGAUACCCCAGUAGUC
rnacentral:rRNA from 1 species